rnacentral:rRNA from 1 species
GGGAGGUAGUGACAAUAAAUAACAAUACAGGGUUCUUUGAAUCUUGUAAUUGGAAUGAGUACAAUUUAAAUCUCUUAACGAGGAACAAUUGGAGGGCAAGUCUGGUGCCAGCAGCCGCGGUAAUUCCAGCUCCAAUAGCGUAUAUUAAAGUUGUUGCAGUUAAAAAGCUCGUAGUUGAAUUUCGGAAUCAAUACGUCGGUCGUGCCUCUGGUAUGUACUGGUGUUGUUGGUUUCUCCUUUCUGAGGAGCCAUGAUGCCAUUAAUUUGGUGUCGUGGGGAAUCAGGACUGUUACUUUGAAAAAUUAGAGUGUUUUAAGCAGGCUCACGCUUGAAUACAUUAGCAUGGAAUAAUGAAAUAGGACAUUCGAUCCUAUUUUGUUGGUUUCUAGGAUUGACGUAAUGAUUAAUAGGGAUAGUUGGG